rnacentral:lncRNA from 1 species
AUGGAAGCUGCUCUUUGGGUGUGCCUCAGUCUGCUCUGUCUGCAGGGCAGCUUUCUCCAGCUCACACGUGGUGCAGACUGCACUGGGACAUCACCGGUGGAAGACUGUGUUAAUGGGCAGACCACCGGAGGAAAGAAGGAUGGGCUUCUGCGGCUGAUGCCAUCUGCUCCAAGAGAGACCCAUACCCAGAAAAAUCCACAGAGGUGGAAGGAUGACAACGUACUGUCGGCCGUGCCGUUGGACAGACAGGAGAGAGAGUUUGGGAAGCACUCCAGCCUUCCUGGGUCCUUCUCAACUAAGGGCUUCCCCAACACACUCAUCCAAGUUCAGACAGAGCGGGCCAGGAGACACUUGGGCCAGUCUGGGACCAAGAAGAAGAACAAGCCUAAAUCCAGAGUGGGAUCUUUUUCUCUGCUCAGCAACAACCCCAGCGCCGCCAUACAGGUAACCAGAGUACGGAGGCAGCUGCAGAAGGAGAAGAAGAAAGGGAAGCCAAGAGGACGAACAGGAGCGUACUCCGCUAUGGACGUCCCAGACAAACCUGAACCCUUGGGACAAAGGCGCAAGAGGAGCCCACAGAAGAAGAAACAGACCAAGAGAAUUGUUUGUUCAUAAACAUUUCAUUAAACGAAACAAGGGACUUUGCGGAAGUGCUACUGCUUCAAUAGUUCAUAAACUGUACUUUAUAUCUUCUUCUCUUUGUAAACAUAUUGGUUUUGUCAUUUUUUCAAUUGAACAAUAAUGUAAUAUAUAUAAUGGAAACACAUCCCUGAGGACAAGUAUACUUACAAUACUUUUGAGAACUCCUUUAAUAUUCUCUUUUAUUACAGUUAUUUGUUGUUGUUGUCGUUGGUCGAUGGUGAUUCUUUGGCGACUGUGCAUAUUAUCAGGUUUAAAUAAAGUAAACUUGUAUGAGAAUACUUCUUGAGAACAUUCCGCAACACAAGGCCUACCGUUUCUACCUAGCACUGAUCGUUUUCUGUUCAGUCAUUGACAGAGUCGGACUCCACCUUGACAAAUGGACUGGAACAUUUCACUGCUCCAGCUCUCCCUCUCUGUUGCCAAGUGCAACACCUUCAAUUCCCACACAACAGGACCUGGGUAACUUCCAGAAGUUAAUUCAGAAAUUGUGAAUUAGGGGGGGGGGGGGGGGGGGAAUGUCACUGAGCCCCAAUUACAGAUGGCUGAGCUAACGUCAGAGUCUGUCUCCCAAAUGGCACCAUAUUCCCUAAAUAGUGCACUACUUUUCACCAUCUUAAGGCUAAGUUCAUCGUUAGAACCAUAUAGUUUGAACGAUGAACUUAGCCUUAAGAUGUUUUUGGGAAACCAGGUUGUGAGUACCAUGGGUCCUGGUCAAAAGUAGUGCACUAUGUAAGGAAGAGGGUGCCAUUUGGGCUGCAGGCAGUGAAUGCCCAGCACUCCGCUAAACUUGCAGUCAAACCUUUGGGUUGAGUGCCCAACUGUUCUGUCAAAUUAAAGGGCGUUGGACCAGUUGAUAAUGGGAAAGAAAUCAUCAUAAUGUUAGACUGUAUACGCCAUCUGUUUCAGAAGUCAAAGUUAAUUUGUUCGAAAAAAAAAUGUUUAUUUUGAAUGAAUUUAGUCAGAGCUAGGAAGCUCAUGGCACUGCAUUCACUAAUGGAGAUGGUUUGAGUGUUUUUGCAGACCAGUCCUGUACUUUACAGUGCCUGCGGAAAGUAUUCAGACCCCUUGACUUUUUCCAUAAUUUGUUAUGUUACAGCCUUAUUCUAAA